GUAAAAAAAAAAGUUCCCUUUUCUGGCAGAGAAAUACGCUAGGGUUUUUUUACGGUCUUAUUUAGUACGCGAGGCCUACUUAUUCUUCUCCAUUCCAUGAACGGCUGUGAAGGUUAGGGAGCAGCCGCGUGCCUUCGACACUAAACAUUUGAUUACUUUUUUCCGUAUUUUCGUUAUCGAGGGAGGUUCCAAUUUCGAAUAUCAUCAUAUCAUUAUACUAAUCAGUCAUUGGGCGAUCCGGCUGAGUGCCGGAUCGCAUUCGGUUGCCGACUGGGCUCUAUCGGCGUUGGCGGUGGAGAUUCCAGUCGCCGUCCAAUGGUCUGGCCGUUGGAUCAGUACAUUUGUGUGGGUGUAAUUGAAUCUUCGACCUCCGUCGAACUUCACUGACUCAGGUGUAUUGUUAUCCUGAAAUUGUGAAUCCAAGUAGAAUUCAAAGCAAUGCUGCUGCCAUUUUAUAAUUGACAUCACCCACGAGCAUAUGUAUGUCUCCCAUUGUCUUGCUCGGUGAACCUUGGGGAUUGUGUACUUAAUGCUCACAUAAAUACCAUUCGGAGUUUGUCAGGCUUCUUGUGCUUCUUUUAAUGUGCUUGGAGUUUGGAAUAUUCUCCAACAUCUGUAUGUAUUAUUACGUUAUUUGUACUGGUUUGUUUUUUCUUUCAUGCCGGAUCACUUUUUCCUCAUAGUUUGUUGAAUGGAUUUAUUUGUUUUCUGCUGUA